AAGAGAGGAAGAUAAACGCUGCCGACUAGUGUUGAGAAGCGCUGCUGGUUGGCGGCAGGCACUGGGUCAAAGGUGAAGCACAACGUUGGGGAAACGACAGUUAUUCAAGUCAGUGAAGAGAAGACUUUGUGAAGAGGAAAAGGGAAAAUAUCUUACAGGAUGAAAAUUGGCGCAUGAUUUUGUUUAGGUUCUAGAGGCAUUAACCACAAAUGAAGGCCAUAAUGAAGCUGAGGAUGAAAGUAAUUUUAAAGAUUUUAUAAUGGAGAUUCCAUAAUAAAGAUGAGCAUCAUACAAACAUGGAUGAGCAAGAUCUUGAACAGAAUGUUUUGGGCAAGCUACUAAACUAUUAUGUGAGGCUUAAGAGCUUUGUUGAGUUGUCAUGUGAGGGAAAGGGAGGUGAGGUUUCUAUCAUGUGGGGUGAAUAAUUUUUUGCAUAACCUCUAUCUAUUAGUAAACGUCAAA